rnacentral:rRNA from 1 species
UUGAACGCUAGCGGCAUGCCUUACACAUGCAGGUCGAACGGCAGCGCGGGGGCAACCCCUGGCGGCGAGUGGCGAACGGGUGAGUAAUGCAUCGGAACGUGCCCAUCGUGGGGGAUAACUGCGCGAAAGCGUUGCUAAUACCGCAUACGACCUGAGGGUGAAAGCAGGGGACCGCAAGGCCUUGCGUCGAUGGAGCGGCCGAUGCCGGAUUAGCUAGUUGGUGAGGUAAAGGCUCACCAAGGCGACGAUCCGUAGCUGGUCUGAGAGGAUGAUCAGCCACACUGGGACUGAGACACGGCCCAGACUCCUACGGGAGGCAGCAGUGGGGAAUAUUGGACAAUGGGCGCAAGCCUGAUCCAGCAAUGCCGCGUGGUGGAAGAAGGCCUUCGGGUUGUAAACCACUUUUGGCAGGAAAGAAAUCGUCCGUGCUAAUACCAUGGAUGGAUGACGGUACCUGCAGAAUAAGCACCGGCUAACUACGUG